GUCAGGAUGGCCGAGCGGUCUAAGGCGCCAGACUCAAGGUUUCCUUGCCCGUGCUUUGCGGGUCACAUGAGCGUUCUGGUCCUCUUUGAGGGCGUGGGUUCGAAUCCCACUUCUGACA
rfam:Dendroctonus ponderosae Seq01009154, whole genome shotgun sequence.